rnacentral:rRNA from 1 species
GGAGGGCGCAAGCGUUGUUCGGAAUCAUUGGGCGUAAAGCGCGUGUAGGCGGCUUGGCAAGUCGGACGUGAAAAGCCCGGGGCUCAACCCCGGAACUGCGCUCGAAACUGCCUCGCUAGAGUCCCGGAGAGGAGGGCGGAAUUCCCGGUGUAGAGGUGAAAUUCGUAGAUAUCGGGAGGAACACCAGCGGCGGAGGCGGCCCUCUGGACGGUGACUGACGCUCAGACGCGAAAGCGUGGGGAGCAAACAGGAUUAGAUACCCUGGUAGUCCACGCCGUAAACGUUGGUGCUAGGUGUCGCGGGUAUUGACCCCCUGCGGUGCCGCCGUUAACGCAUUUAGCACCCCGCCUGGGAGUACGGUCGCAAGGCUA